AGUCCGCGGCUUGUGUGCCGCGAGGAGAGGCGCAAAGGGUGACACACCAGGAAAGGUAGCAGGCAAGAGUGUGGUUAUCGUUGGACCAGGAUUCAGGAUCUGACUGAGUAGCUGACUCUUAAUCCAGUUUGUGUUGAUCACCAGGAGGAUCUGGACCUCAGUAUUACCACAUCUAGAGCUAUAAUCACAUCCCUGUUAAGCCUUCCUGAGAUCACACCAAAUGUCCUUGAUGGGAAUUGUAAACAACCCUUACUUCUGGUUUCUAAUGAUAUUCCAGGAAAGGAGCCUAACUAGAGUCAGUGAUAUGCCAACUCCACCUUUGCCUUCCACCAUGUUUGGAAGCUCCCUGAGGCCUCACCAGGAGCAGAUGCUCGUCCCAUGCUUCCUAUAAGCCUGCAGAACUGUAGAAGGCCAUCCUAGGAAACAAUCCCAUGAGUGAUGUUUCAUGAAUUAUCUUCGUGAACCGGAGCAAGUCGCUUUGCCUUCCUGAACCUUCUCUGAGAUGGAAGGGUGAUCUGAAAAUAUGCCUCCCGGGUAAACCUCAGCCCUGGCUGGCAGAUCUGGCUGGCUAAUGGGACUCCCCUUUUCCUCUCCAUGGCUCCUGUGCCUCCCCCUCAAGACUGUGUGUAUUCCAAGAGGACUACAUUCCCAGGUGGGGUCGUAUUGUUCUUAUAAUGAAGGCUUACAGAAUUUCCUCGAAUGUUGCAUCUAGUUUUAGCGUUCUGAAUCUGUGAAUCACAAAUUAGAAUUGGUGCCUUUGGAAGAGGAGAUGGGACAUGAAGCCUGCUCCACCUUCUGAUAAUGCCCUAAAGAGCAGCUCAAAAUACAGCUAAAAGAACCCAGAAAACAAAAUAGGUAAGUCUUGAAGAGAGAUCAACAUUAGGAACACAAUAUUCACUGAAUAUAAUUCUGUGGUCUGUUUUAUACUUUAUUUUAUGCAUUCACUCCUAGUAUUUAAUUUAUGUAUCAAUUUCUGAGAAUUGGUUUCCAAAAAAGUCAUUAUCCAGUGAACUCUAUUAGUCACUAAAGCUUUAUAACAAAUAAAUUAACAAAACAUUGUUACCCUAAGAAGGAAUAGCCUCUUGUCACUUGUUGCCCCUUGGCUCUCAAAACUGGAAAGUCCACAUGCUUAUAGUGGUUAUGAUAGUUUAUCAAACUGAAGAAGAAGCCUGAACAACACUCCAGUGAUUCCAGACACAAGUAGAUAAUCUAUUCAGCCCCAUGUAGUUUCAGAGAGUAAACGAAGAUAAGGAAAUUUUUUUCUUCUCCUCAGGGCAGAGAUGUUUUUCAGUUCUUCUUCUUUUUUUUUUUUAAUCUUAGCACUUGAUAUUCCCUUGGGAAGUGUUGGUUACAACAAAACACUAUUUAUUAGAAUCCAAGUAUCUGAAAUUAAUCAAAGAUAGAUUAGCAUGCCAGUGUCCCCUUUCCUCUUUUGUUAUAAAAGAGCAAUAGUCAUUUUACUAUUGCUAAAUGUCAUUUACAUUUAGUCAUUUACUAAAAAUUAGUAAAAAAUUUCUUAAUAUAAGCAUAAAGUUACAAAGGCAAAGAGAAGAUGUACUGGAAGGUAAAUAGGCGUGGCAGAGGUUUGAAAGGCUGUUAGGCACUGGAUUAUAAUCCUUCUAGGGUAUGGACAACAUCUGGGUGUUAUUUUCUCUUUCAUAGUCAGUUCAGUACUCACUGUGCAUGAGAGGUGCUUGAGUGAGUCUUUGUUAGAUAAAUGAAAAGCAAAUUAAUCCACUUUUCAGAGCUCUCUUCGGAGACCUGAGCCUGAACAAGACAAUUCUCUAAAAGACAGAAUAUUUGGGAAUGAAAAAUAGGACAUUAGAAGAUGCUGUUUGUUACUUUUUAAAUCCCUUUUCAUCCUGGCUACGCUAACUCUACCCUCAAGGGCAGGAGAACAGAGGACCAGAGAUGGCUCCAGGCAAGUUGUGAGCUGUGUGGCAUCAGCAUCUGUCUAUAGUGGUGAUGCUGGUGCUGACAUGUGGUGGUUUAUUUAAUCUAUUUGGGCCCCAAUAUCUGCAUGUGUAAAAGGGAAUGAUGAUAAUGAGUAUUUUCCAAAAAAUAUGGUUGAAGGAUUAACUGUAUUUGAGAUAGAGUAGGCCUCAGUUCGUGUCAGCUAUUAGCCUUAGUCUGUCUACAGGAACCAGAAGUUUCAGGUUGGGAGAAGCCUGGCCUUUUAGUGAGAAGCUUUCUUGUGGUGGGACAAGAUGUUGGUGUGAGACCAGAAACUCAGCCUCUCAGGAGCAGAAAAAGAGGGGACUCGAUGUUCUGCUGGUGAUUCUGAGAUGAGUGUUAACAUCAGAUGUGGCUGUUAGUCCCCAGAAGGACAAAUAUAAAUGUUUCCUUCAUGCUCUUCUUUGUUUUUGUUUUUGGUUUUUGUUCCUUCUGCUGAUAAAUAUUCUUACUCAGAGGUUAUUACUGCAAAUAAUAAUAA
rnacentral:lncRNA from 1 species